rnacentral:rRNA from 1 species
GAGCGAGACCGUGCAGACUGCGUCUUCCCCACGAACCCUAGCCGCGUUCUCGCCUCCUCCUCCAUCCGCGCCGCCUCCUCGCCUCCUCCUCCAUCCGCGCCGCCUCCUCCUCCUCUCCUCCUCCAUCCGCGCGCCUCGGUGGCGACCCCAUGGAGGGCGGCCGGGUCGGAGCGACCCCCCGCGUCCCUUCUUCCCCGCUCGGCGCUCUCUACUCCCAGCGCAGCUGCCGGCUCCCUCCGCUCUUCCCAUCUCGCCAGAGCCGCCGCACCCAGAGGCGACCGGCGUUGCUCCAUCUCGAGCUGCCCGUUCUCUCUCCCCCGACGGCCGGCGCAGGAGAGAGAAAGAGGAGAGGGAUGUGGCGGCGGACGGGAGAGGGUCGACCUCGCGGUCGGUGGCUGCUUGAUCUGAGAGAAAGAGGAGAGGGAGGUGUGGCGGCGGACGGGGGAGGGCCGACCUCGCGGUCAGUGGCGGCUCGAUCUCUACAAGAAAGAAGGGGUUUGAACUCCUCCCCUGUGAGCAUGGGAGGGUGAGAAGAACAGAGGUGGAGGCAGGACCGCGAUGCCGGAGCUCUAGGCGUCGCUCGCGUUGUCGUGGAGUGGAGAAGUGUCGCCGGCCAUGACUGAUGGUCGUUGCUCACUGGUCGUCAUCCCCUGUCCCCAAUCCAGAUCUGAGAAAGUAGAGGAGAGGAAGAAUCCUGAGGAAGAGUUUGAUGAAAGGGUUUUGUCUAUCAAGAACUACAUAUACUCGACAUGGUGUCGUGGUAUCUAUAGUUGUUGUGGAGCCUGCUGGUAUUCUCACCUUCCACUGCCUCUUUCCCCUCUCUGCGCCUAUGCAAGCUACAUUGGAAGAAUCCAUGUAUUUAGUUGUGGCAUGUUUGGCAGCUACAGCAGCUUGAUAAUUAAUUAGUUCUCAUCCAAGCCGCCGCCGCACAUCCCGCUCGUAGAUGGCUAGGCGGUGCGCUGUUCGGAUCAUCCCCGCGCGGCGGACCCGAUCCAAGCGAGAAGCAGCAAUCCGGUAUCUUGGUGUCGCUCCUGCCGUCAAUGUUCCGGCCGGCCGGCAGUACUGCAGGUCGUACAUCGCGGCACCGAAGCCUCGGCUAGUCGGCUGCCCCACCGCCCCCAACCUGCCAGGAUCUCUCUCCACCGUACGUCGGAUACCCUACUGCCUGAGUCAGCGCCGCCGGCGACCUUCCCUCCCACUACAGGUUGAAGAGCUAUUGUUUCAGUUCGUCCAUGACCCUUAUGGGGCUGUGGGGGAUGUUGCACUCAGAGAACUUGUUUCUUGCAGUAGUAGGAUGAACUGGAUCAGAUAUUGGAAGUGGUACUGUCACAUAUCCUGGCAUCUGCUCAGCCUGCAGCAUGGCACAUGAGUCUUCGACAUCAUUGAGGAUUUCUGCAUCGGCAAAUUGGAAGACUGAUGUGGAAUAGGAGAGGAUGUAAAAGCUCCCAAGUGUGAACCCAUGUGCUCGUCUGCAUUUCCUUGAAGAUGAUGAGAACGAACAAAACCAUUUCGUAAUUGUGAUGAGGACUGCUCCAGGGCCCAGCUUUGUGGUUCCGAUCACAUGUUUGACCUCCUGCUUACUCUGGUACAUGGUCUCCAUCCACCCAUCGUCAACAUAUGGCCUCGCCGGAUCGCCAGACAACACCGUCAUCUACGUCUGUCUCGCGUGACAGGCACUGUCCUCGACCUCUGCGUCACAGUUAAUUGUGUACUAGUAAUUCCUUUGGGGAACUUGUUACAGUUAUUCUAACUCCGCCAUGUAUCCAUGAACUUGUUAGAUUCUGAAUAUGUAAUUUUCCAGACAGUCGGGUAGCAUUCAAGUGCUCCGUAUGCGCCAACACUCUCAAAAUUCACUUCCUUUUCUGCUCUUUUGC